CACACUCCAUCAGGCACGCACACACACUGUCUCUCUCUCUCUCUCUUUCUCUCUCUCCCUCUCCCCCUCACUCUCACAUGUACACAAAUAUACACACAGACACACAGACACACAUAUAUAAGUCUAUGGGGUGAAGUUGCAUUUGCAGAAUUGUAGUUGCGGAUACAUUGUAUUUUGUUCAAAAACCAUACAAUCUGUAGGCAGUUGACAUUUUUAUAAUCGAUGUAUCAUUUUACAAAUUCCAACUUUGGAAACAAAACCAGUCUGAUUCAAGUUGGAGUGGGAGGAGCGACAGCAAGGAUCAGAGGCUUGCCGGGAAGGUACAUUUUAAAAGAUUUACCUCAUGUAAAGGCGGAGCGCACUCUGAGCAGGAGUGGACAAGGGACUGCUGGCAGAUCAUCAAGAUGUCUAUAGCUGGACUACUCUCUUUGGACUGUUGUAUGGACACCUAAUACCUCACACAUUGACAGAUGAUAUACUCUGUUCAUGAAGGUGCAGAAUGUCAACAUUGGACAACAGAAACUCAGUAAAGGCUAACUUUAAUCACAAUACAAUCCUUAAUGGAAAUUCAAACUGCAGAGCUGAUUAUUAGUGAGUCUGCAGCUGAUGAAGCAUCCUGCUUUAUAAAGCUACUGUGAAGCAUCUUGGGAUGUUUUAUUAUGUUCAAGGUGCUACGUGAGGAUAAGUUGUUGUUGUUGAAAGAAGUGAAAUUCUUGUCUGUGCAUUCAUUAAGCUGAUGCUUGCCCAAUGCCCACCUCUGUGGAUGGAGGGUCCGGGGCAAUGCCAUCCACGGACCUUACCCAGGAUCUUCAUCCCGCUCGUCAAAUGAAUGCCUUGUCCGAAUAUUUGAGCUUUUAAUGUUUAUUUUAAAUUCAUUCAAAACUUUUCAUAACUGGAAUAAUGGAGGCUCUGAUAAAAGUUUCUCUCUUUCUGCUGUUUCAACCAUGCCUCCCCUCAUGUUUCUGCCAGACGGACAAGUCAUCCGCUGCACCCGAUGUGGCCUCCUCUAUAUUGGGGAGACAGGCCGCUUACUUGCGGAACGCUUCAGAGAACACCUCCGGGCCGCCCGAACCAACCAACCCAAUCACCCCGUGGCUCAACACUUUAACUCUCCCUCCCACUCCACCGAGGACAUGCAGGUCCUUGGACUCCUCCACCGGCAGAACACAACAACACGACGGCUGGAGGAGGAGCGCCUCAUCUUCCGCCUGGGAACCCUCCAACCACAAGAUGCUGCCUGACCUGCUGUAUAUUUCCGACAGCUUUUUUUUCAUUUUUGUUUCAGAUUUCCAGCAUCCUCAGUAUUGUAUUAUUGGAUCAGAGUUUUGAAGUUUUGUUCAACCAGGUCACAGAGGGCUGUUGAAUCAAGAUGGGGUUGUGGGCUUACAAUAACAAUCGCCAAGUCAUUUAUAGCACCGAAACAAAGCCAUUCCCCAUCAGGUCCAUACUACCAGCUUGUGGAGCAAACAGUCAGUGACCUGUUUCGUUUCUGCAAGCCUGCAAGCUUAUUUUCUUCCACUGUGCAUUCUGAUUACCUUUUGAAAUCAUUGAUUACUUCUGCAACCACGUUAUCAAAGGAACCAAGUUCAGACUGCACAAAAAUAUUCUCCACGUGAUGAUGCUGCUCCUCUAACAGGGUCAUAUUGUCCUUGGUUUUUUUUCAGAGGGGCCAUAAACCCAGAGACUCCAAAACAACUUUAAUUGAAGGGUUUUAGAGCCAAUGUGAUUCCAGCUAACAGAUACUGCCUUAUGCAAAAGGCUCUCAAGUUUAAAUAAAAACACUGGUACAAUGAAAGGGUGGCCAGUUCUCCCAGCUCAGCAUUAUUGUGGUUCGCUUUGCUUUUAGCAAGCAGUCAGUUCAGGGCUGCAGAAUUGUGAAGCUGCUGGCCCCAAAGAAGCAGGUCCAGGCUGAUCCUCCUCUCUCUCUGACAUCUCUCCUGUAAGACCCUGUGUUUGAUUUUACCUUUGGUGCCAAAUGGUGUUUAUGGCGAUCAUUGCAAGUAUUUGGAACAGCAUCAUUAAGUUGGGAUAGUCUGUUAGACAAUCAAAUAGGUAAAUUAUUCUGUAUUCUGUUGUCUUUUGUUUGUAAUCUUUUGUUUCAUUUGGUAAACUUGCAAUUAAAUUCUGUUUUGUUUAAAA